AUGGAGGAAGUUGCAGGAAUGUAUUUUGAUGAACUUGUUGACAGAAGAUUCAUCCAACCUGUGUCUAUCAACUUCAACAAUGAGGUGGUGUCCUGCACAGUUCAUGACGUGGUACAUGAUCUUAUUGCACACCAGUGUGCUGAAGAGAAUUACGUUGUGGUAGUAGAUCACAAUCGAAAGAAUUUGGCACUUUCUCAUAAGGUCCGUCGACUAUCUCUUCAACUUGGUGAUGCAAAAUAUGCCAAGAUACCACCAAACAUCAUAAAGUCACAAGUACAGUCACUUGGAUAUUUUGGAGUAUCAGAGUGCAUGCCUUGCAUUGCAGAGUUCAAGCUGGUUCGUGUUCUGAACCUUCUUCUAUCUGGCCAUCAUAAUGGCGACCAAGACCUGUCCCUAGACCUCUCUAGAGUAUCAGAACUGUUCCAUCUUAGAUAUCUGAAGAUUGUAUGUGAUGUCUGUGUAAAACUUCCCAACCGUAUGAGAGGGCUGCAAUGUUUGGAAACACUGGACGUUAUGGAUACACCAAGAGGCACUUAUGUUCCAUGGGACAUUAUAUAUCUCACACGCUUGUUGCACCUCAGUCUUCCUCCUCAUACAAAUCUGCUGGAUUGGUCUGUCGGUGACGAUCUGAGCCUUUGCAAGCCAAACCACCUGCAGGAUCUUUGCAUUUCUACACCACCUUCUUCAGAAUACGACCAUCUGUACAGAAACAUGGAUGCUCUAGAUUAUUUAAUGCAUGAACAUGACAGCCUGAAAACAGUAAAACUGGUGGCUCACGGAUCCUCGGCUAGCUAUGGUGACACUUCAAAAGCAAGAGUUUUGUGGAUUUUGGAUAAACAACCCCACCAUCUCCAGAGAUUUGAGGUCUCACCGCGCAGCCCCGUCAUAUUUUGCAAAAUGUAUAAGUGGGAGGAACAACUUGGCAACCUAUGCAUUCUGAAGAUUGCAGUGGAUGGACUGUCAGUAAAUGAUGUUGAUAUUCUUGGAGGGUUGCCUGCCCUCACUGCUCUGUCGUUGUAUGUGGAGAAGUCACCUAAUGUUAAGAUAAUCUUUGGCAAGGCUGCUGGAUUCACAGCUCUCAAGUACUUGAAGCUGAGGUUCAUGAGUGGAAUAGCUUGGCUAAAAUUUGAGGCGGGCGCAAUGCCUAAUCUCUGGAAGCUCAGGCUCGUUUUCAAUUCCAUCCCCCGAAUGGACCAACGACUUGAACUUUUUUCAAAAUCUGAUCAGUGGAAACAAUAUCGGCAUGGUACUGCAUUAAUCAGCAUCGAGCAUAUGCCACGCCUUAGAGAGGUCUCCGCAAAAUUUGGGGAUGCAGCUGCUGAUCUGGAGUAUGUCUCAAGGAUCGGUGUAGUUAGUAAUCAUCCGGGCAAUCCUAUAAUUGACGUGCAACUAGUGGAUUCUGGUUCCCAUGGUGAUAAAAGGAUAUCAUCAAGGUCACUGGAGUCCAUUUCCUGCCCGCUGCAUGCUCCAGGGGCGGGAGCUGGUGGAGAGGUGUCAUGGAGCAAUAUGAUUGGUGUGAUAGGUCGUGACCUCUUCAUGUAUUGCCUCCACCGCCUCUCCAGGUGGGAAUAUGGCGCCAUCGCCUCCCUCAACCGUGAUUUCAAUUCCGUGGUUCGCAACGGCGACAUCUACCGCCUGCGUCGCAAGAAUGGGGUGGCGGAGCACUGGCUCUACCUCUCUUGCGGUAAUUAUCCUCCGGAGUGGGAUGCUUAUGACCCGUCCACUGGGCGCUGGAUCCAAGUGCCCAAGAUGCCACCGGCUGAAAGCGAAUUCAUCUGGGAGUCGGUCGCUGUUGGAACCGAGCUGCUGGUGUUUGUGGACGGAAGGGCUGCCUUGAGAUAUAGCAUCCUUACCAAUUCAUGGACAUGGCUGGCUGAUGCGAUGAACACCCCGCGGUACUUGUUUGGGUCAGCAAGUGCCGGUGAGAAGGCGUAUGUCGCGGGAGGCAAGGAUUCUUCUCGUAAUAAUGUAUUGAGGUCUGCAGAGAUGUAUGACUCGGAGACACAUACUUGGACACCCCUUCCCAGCAUGAAUAGGGCUAGGUACAAAUGCUCUGGCGCGUUCAUGGAUGGCAAGUUCUAUGUGAUCGGUGGUCUUAGCAGUAGCCACGAGGUAUUGACGUGCGGUGAGGAGUAUGACUUGGAGCGGAGGUCAUGGAGGCUCAUCGACAACAUGUCUCAGGGGCUCAACCUUCAAGAAUGGGGUGCUCCUCUGCUCCUUGCAGUUGUGAAGAAUGAGCUUUAUGGCGCUGAUUACAGUGAGAAUAAUGAAUUGAAGAAGUAUGAUAAGCUGGACAACAAGUGGGCCACUCUUGGAAAAUUACCUGUACAGUCUAAGAACAAUUUGGGCUCCGACAUCCGUUUCCGAGCGUGUGGUGACCGGAUGAUUGUUAUUGGGCCUCCAAACAAGUCUAUUGAUGAAGAGGUGGUUGAGCUUCAUUCAUGGACCCCGGAUGGGCAACCGCCUGUGUGGAAUUUGUUUGCCACGCGCCCAUACGGGGGCUUAGGUAUUCUAUGCGCCGUGAUGGGUUGCUGA
rnacentral:rRNA from 1 species